UGGGAGGGCAAAGAAGCUGAGGGAAUCAGGACUUUCACUGACUGGGCUGGGGUUCAGGGCUGAGAGCCAGUAAUAAUAGGAAUAAGGACAAACAAAACAAAACAAACAAAACAAAAGCCUGAAAACUACGGCAGAGGGUGAGUUGGAUGUAUAGAUUAGCAGCAGCAGUAGUGUCAUGCAGCUGUCAUAAGUGACAGCUUGGGGAGCUUGGCUACAGAAGAUGAUUCCCAGAGCCAUUUAAGGCAAAGGAACGCCUACAUGCCUGUGAUGGACUCAGAGUGAACCUGCAGGUGCUGGCUACUACUGGCUGAGUGAAGGAAGUCAAUAGCAGUGGGCAAAGGCAGAAUUUCUCUCUUUCUCAUAGUAUUUGCUGUAGUUCCACACAUGGUGACUGAACACCUGGAGCAGAGGCCCCGUUGCACACUGAAUUGGCCUCAUUAUAUCAUGAGCAAGAUCUUCUAUCACUGUUACUCCUUAUUGUUGUGAAGACUUCUUUUAUGUCUGGAAAGACAUUUAGGCAACUUAGCAUUGUGAUAGAAAACAGCUAAACUACUACAGUUUUCUAAGUUCAAAUCAAGAUUUCACUCACCCCCUAGCAUCUUACUAAAACCUGGGUUUCCUAUAGGGGAGGAUAAAUUGCCCACAAAGUUAUGACUACCAGAAUUGGGACUCUGUUCUGUGAAGUAGAAAUAAAUGCAGAGACCAUUUUUUCAUCCUAGAGUAAGUAGAAAAAAAGCAACAGUUAUUUUCACUUUCUUUUAGAAAAAUUAUGAUAAAUAAGUAAAUUAUCUUAUAUUAGCAAGUAAUAAUUAGUAUGGAAAAAACAGAGAGAUUGUGAGUGUUGAAGGAAUAUUGAAAUUUUAGAUGGGAUGGUCAGGGUAGGCUUCACUUAGAAGGUGACAUUUGAGCAAAGAGUUUAAUGAUAAGGAAGCAUUGUGAAUAUCUUGGGAAAGAGUUUUGCAGGCAGGGAUAAUAGCCAGUGCAAAGACCCUGAGGCAAGAAUGUGCUUUCGGCUGCACAAGGCCUAGUUCAUGCAUCCAAACAAGAGGUUGGAGCAGUUUAUUUCCUCUCUCUUUGAGGUCAGGAUGGAUUUUGGGAACUGAAGUGGACUGAGCCAACAAGGCAGGGAUCAAUAUCCAGCAGCUAUAAGGAGAAGUGGGGAUGCCAAGGCUGAGACUAGGACUGGGCCUGAGAACAGUAGUAUGAACUCUGCCACUUCUCACUCAAACUAUCGUCUAGCUUUUCUCUUUUUCCUGGAUCUUCUUUGUGCCUAAUCGAUAUGUUAUUUGUAAGCAUGAAAUCUGACUUUAUGAACUCUGUGAUAAUGUACAAUGUUUUCAAGUUGUUUCACUAAAGGAGUAAUUAUAAAGUCUUAAUUGCUUAUCUUUUAUAUCAAAGCAUUGAAAUAACAUUUAAAUAGAUCAAAGUGUUUAGAGAAAGAUGCAAAUUGGCUUUAUCACAAGAAUGUGGGAGAAUCUGGACUUUGACUUGGCAUAUAAGUUGGGUUGCCUGUCCAGUACCACCUUAACUCCUGAAAAAUAGGGGCUCCUGCUCAAACUGAGGCUGUACCUAUCACAAACACCAAUGAAUGUGGUAAAGAACACAUAAUACUUUUGGCCACAACUAGUCAGUGCUGGUUCAUUGUUACCCAUAACUCAGCAUUUGCUCCUGUGCUUAGAGCCCAUGUUUGCUUAUUUUAUAUUAUUUUUUAGUUAACUAAUGCUUUAGGGAACAACUCUCUUGAGAUUUAUCAUCUAGAGAAUUGUAGGGGAUAUCUUUCUCCUGUUUCUAGCCACGGGGUGCUGCAGCUUCCCUCUUCCAACCUGGACUGAGAGGCAAUUUUGAUGAGUACUGCAUCUGGCCCAGAUACUGGGGCCUGACCUGAUGUCCCCCAGAGGAGCUCUGCUGGACUCAGAUGGGCUUUCCCCGCUUUCUGCCUCACAAGUUCUCUGAUGAAGGAGGAGUAUCAGCUAUUCAUUUUGUGUAUGUGGCGCCUGAACCUUCAUGGAACAUAUCCCAGAUCGCAGUGUGCCACAGCCAGAUCUCUCAUCUGGGUUCUUUUUUUUAAAGUUGGGCCUGAAUGGAAAUAGAGAUGCUGCUGUGUGGUAGGUGGGGGGGAGUGACAGGGCCCCGACUGCUCAGAAGAAAGUCAAUUUAUGGACUGGGAUCCUCCUUCCACAUUGAGGACAGUCCUAGAGCAUCUAAACAAUCCUUGGAAAUAUUCUGGACCAUGGGCUACAUCACUGAGUUGUUCUUUCUAUAAUGGGUAUUGCCCUUUAUCCCUUGUUCCUAAUUAAUCCAACUCAGGCACAAACAUACCUUGCUAUAAGGAUACCAAAUUAUUACAGUUUUCUUCCUUUAUGGGAAAAAUGGAGCAGCUUGCCAUAAUUCUGUCUCAAGAAAAGAUUUAUAAUACAAGUCCCCUAGCACUAGCUCAUUUUCAUGAUCAUACAUUGUUCUGGAGAGUGAUAUUUUAUUUUAAAUGCAUCGUAUCAAAAGUACAGCAGACAGAUGUAGCCUUCUCAUCUUACACAUCUUUCCACAAUGAAUCCUGGAGUCAACAUUUCUCACAGUUGUGACUAUAAAGAUACCGUUGAAAUACUCGUAAGAAAAAAAAAUACUUACAACCCCAAAGCCCAUAAGGUAUUGUUUUAAGAAGCAUUUUGAUAAUUUUGUAGAUUUUUCUCUGAUACCUAAUUAA
rnacentral:lncRNA from 10 species